GUCCAGACUCCUACGGGAGGCAGCAGUGGGGAAUAUUGGACAAUGGGGGGAACCCUGAUCCAGCGACGCCGCGUGAGUGAAGAAGUAUUUCGGUAUGUAAAGCUCUAUCAGCAGGGAAGAAAGAAAUGACGGUACCUGAGUAAGAAGCACCGGCUAAAUACGUGCCAGCAGCCGCGGUAAUACGUAUGGUGCAAGCGUUAUCCGGAUUUACUGGGUGUAAAGGGAGCGCAGGCGGCACGGCAAGCCUGAUGUGAAAGCCCGCGGCCCAACCGCGGGACUGCAUUGGGAACUACCGGGCUGGAGUGCCGGAGAGGUAGGCGGAAUUCCUAGUGUAGCGGUGAAAUGCGUAGAUAUUAGGAGGAACACCAGUGGCGAAGGCGGCUUACUGGACUGUAACUGACGUUGAGGCUCGAAAGCGUGGGGAGCAAACAGGAUUAGAUACCCGCGUAC
rnacentral:rRNA from 1 species